rnacentral:lncRNA from 1 species
CCUCGUUGUGUCUCUGUAUCAAUGAGUAACGUCACUCUCUCCCUCAAGUCGUUACUUCCCAAAAGGACCUUCAUCGUUAUGAAGAAUUGGUGAGAAGUUAUAAAAGAAACCUCGAUUAAUAAUCUAAUCUCUUUUAUGAAACAUUAGUAUCUCUAAUGUUCAUCUCUCUUGAUUGUUAAUCAAUAUAACAAUUAUUAUCUCUCGUCAUUACUCAUUAAUUAUAACAUCCUUAUGUUAUAAUUAGCAGCGCUUCAAUUAAAAGAAAUAUUUAACACAUCGAAAAGUCCACUUUCUUAGCAGAUCUAUUCGCUCUCAUCUCGUCUAAUUAACCAAUUAGAAAGUUAAACUUUCCAUUAGGUAUGUAUUUGAGUCACAGGUCAACAAGAAUUGACUAUGCUCAAAUUCUAAUUUCACUAAAAAUUUCGGCAUGACCUAUUCAUAUAUAAUGUCAGCCACGAGAUUUCAACGCGUGAAUCUCACUACGUGAACUCGUCUCUCGACUCAAAACUUAACAUCUUGACAUCUUUUCAACGCAACCCAAACAAUUCAAAAUCAUCAAAACUCUUUAUCAGUAAACUAUCAUUUAUACUCGACACCAAUUGUUCGAGUGUCAGAUACCAACAUUUAUGUGCGUUAAUCAUAACUCUCACAACUCACACCAUUUAGUCAUAUCGUAUCAUCCAUCAAAACAAAUAUAAUCAAGUUAUUUUCUAGAAAGUUUUGCUGUUUUUGUGUCAUCUUUAAAACUUCAUAACAACCAACUCAAUCAUCAUAAACUCUCAUACCAAUUGAUCUCAAAAACUUCAUGAAGUGUAGUUCACUCUAAAAAUGGUAGUUAACCAAAAAGGUUAAAGAUUUUUGGAGAUAUUGCUCUUUUAGUGCAGGCUGUCAAUGAUUGACAGUUUCUGCCAAUUUUGUUUAGGCCAUUAGAAACCAAGGCGAACCUUAAUAAAAUUCCAUCAAAUUUAAUCAGCCAAAACUAAAGGUAUCCUUGAAGAUUUGGUUAAAAUUUCACAAGAGAAAACGUUCAUAUGAUCUGCCAAAUAAACAAUGAAACUCAUACACUUUUACUGUUGGACAAAUAUGACAGCAGAACAGGGCAUUUUUGAAAUAAUAAACUGCUCUGUUUCAGAGGUCAUAAAAAUCGAAAUCUUAUGUUUUUAGAAAAGUAUUGAAGUCUAGUUUCGUUUAAAAAAAACGGUGAUGCAAAAUCAUUCAUGGAUUAAUAGAUAUAAACGUUUUUGUGAAGUCUACCAAUAGUUGACAGAUUCUGUCAAGGAUUUUUCAAAAUAUCUUUAAAAUAGCAAACAUCAUCCAAAAGACAUGAAAUUUUGCAGCAACGAAAUACACAUAUCAUAGAUAAACAUACUAAAAUUUCAGAGCCAUCAAGCAAUGAAAACUCAUCGAAACAUAAGCUUGAAACUGCUGUAAAAUUUUGACAGAAUUCCAGUUUUAAUUUCGUUCAACAAUUAUCAUCCAUAAAUUGUAAAUCAAUUAGCAUGCUCAUGUGAUAUCGUAGAACACAUAUACGCAAUAAUAUUCAUUAUGCAACGUCCCAAACUUCACGAAUUUAAAUAAUCAUACUCUAAAAACUUAUACAAUUUUCGUGCUUGGAAAAAUACGAAUUUAAUAUAUAUCGAUUCUAGCAUACCCCUAAGCACAAAUAUCAAGUCAAAACGAUCAAACAAAAAUCGAAAGACAAGCUAAUAUGUGAAAAACGGGGCUGCCCUCAUGGGUUUCAUAGCUACGGUUCGUUCCGUUCUUACUCCCUUCAUUAAACAUGCUCAACAUCUACCCAAGAACAACAUACUAAAAUUUCACGACGAUCCGACGUCGUUUCAAAAUAAAGUCGAGAAUCGACGUUUUUCGACGUCGACGAAAAUCGAAAAGAAAACCAUCAAAACGUAGGUAGAGAUCUUACCUACUUAGAUACGUGAUCGAAAAGAUGAUCGGCGCUCGUCUCGGUGCUCAAAUCGGAAGUCAAAAGCUUGAGCUCAAGCUAAAAUGAAAAUGGCGUGAAGUGUGUGUGUGUUUUAGGUGUUGUGUGUGUGAAU